rnacentral:tRNA from 1 species
GUCUUAGUUUACCUCGGAUAGCGUAGAGGGAGAGUCACUGGCUGCCAACACAGAGUUCUGGGUUCGAUUCCCAGAUAGGACG